rnacentral:rRNA from 1 species
UACGGAGGGUGCAAGCGUUAUCCGGAUUUACUGGGUUUAAAGGGUGUGUAGGCGGCCUUUUAAGUCCGUGGUGAAAUCUCCGGGCUCAACCCGGAAACUGCCAUGGAUACUAUUGGUCUUGAAUAUUGUUGAGGUGGGCGGAACGGGUCAUGUAGCGGUGAAAUGCAUAGAUAUGACCCGGAACACCGAUUGCGAAGGCAGCCCACUAAGCAAUGAUUGACGCUGAGGCACGAAAGCGUGGGGAGCAAACAGG